ensembl:lncRNA
GUUGAGAUAAGGUCUCACUCUCAUUAUGUGGUUCAGGCUGGCCUAGAAUUAGCAAUCCUUCUACGCGCACACUCGCAUGUAUACACACACACACCACUGAAUUCAGUCACUGAGCACCGUGACGGGCCCUUUUCCAUUUGCUUAUUUAUCUCAGCCAUUGUCCCUUUUUCAGAAGUCUUUGGUGGCCUUCCAACUCUGCUUGUGUCUUCUGUGGCAUUACCUCUCCUCUCCUGCACCCUCGGCCAUUCUUUGGCCCCUGUGCUGGACGAGUGCCUGAUGCUCAGAGCAGAGACUUUGCUCUCCGGCUUCACAGAGGAGCUGGUAACGAGUUUUCUGGAUGUUGGGAGGUAAGACCGUUAGGUACCCACACACCCCGACUAUGAAAUGAGGGUAUUGAGCAGAUGUCCUGUGACAGAUUGCUUGCAGAUGUGAUUUUUAGGAUGCAGCCUGUUCCCUCAUAAAGGGCUGGCAGGGACACGUGAAAAUGAGCAGCAAAUGGCAGAGGCAGCUCUCCUUCACUGUCUCCCAUGAAAAGUGGUCUGCUCAAGAGAGAGAGGACUUUAUCAGCCAAUUAGAAAGCACUCUGCGAGACAAGCUUUAAUGGAAUGGAUUGCCUAGAUUGAAAGAACAGGGUAUUUUGCACUACAGUAGUAUUUUAGGGGCUGGAGAGAGGGCUCUGUAGUUAUGAGCACUGGAUGCUUUUCUAAAGGACCAGAGUUCGACUUCCAACAUGGUGGAGUUUCCGUAUUCCCAGGCUGGCCUGGAACUCUCUAUGUAUCUGAGGAAGACCUUGGACCUCAGAUUCUCCAGCCUUGACCUCUCAGGUACUGGGGUUACCGCACUGCAUCACCAGGCCUGGCUUUGCUUUUGCGUGGCUUAUGUUUCUUGCAUGUCUGGGGAAAUGUACUUUGUCUAGACAUAUGUUCCUAAGUUUAUGCAUAAUAGCUCCGGGGGGUAGGGUAGAAAACCAAAUAUCUGGCUUUUUUCCACUUCUAUUAAGAGAAACAAGAUCUGCCUCCUUCUAAGACUCAUGUAGCAGUGAAUUCAUCAUUUAAGAAAGGGAUUUGGAGGUCAGGCCCCAACCCAAUGAGUAAGCCAGCCAGGCAACAACCACAGCAGUGCUAAGCCCUGGCAUCCACAUCUAGA